UGCGUAGGUGGCAGAACAAGUCUGGAGUAAAAGGUAUGGGCUCAACCCGUACUGGCUCUGGAAACUGUUCAGCUAGAGAACAGAAGAGGACGGCGGAACUCCAUGUGUAGCGGUAAAAUGCGUAGAUAUAUGGAAGAACACCGGUGGCGAAGGCGGCCGUCUGGUCUGUUGCUGACACUGAAGUACGAAAGCGUGGGGAGCAAAUA
rnacentral:rRNA from 1 species